GGAUAGCUCAGUUGGUUACAGCGUGGUGCUGAUAAUGCCAAGGUCGUAGGUUCGAUCCUCGCAUGGGACA